rnacentral:rRNA from 1 species
CAGUCGUACCUUCGGGUAAUCAGCCUUUCGGGUGCGAUUCUGUGGGGUUUGAGGAGCUUAACACCUUCAUGCUUUGCAUAUACGUGCUCUUGGGUGUACUUGCCCGUGUGGUUGGUUAACAUCAAUUUUGGUGGUCAUAAAAUGACUGGAGGAAUGUAGCUUCGAUCUCGUAUUGAAGUGUUAUAGCCUUCGGUAGAUGUGAUGAUCGAGAUUGAGGAUUGCAACGGAUACCCUUCGGGGCUACCUGUCUGAUCUCUGAUCGUUGCUCUGGUGCCGAAAGCUUGCUUACGGUUAUCAAAGUCGAUGGUCAAUAGGUUAGAAUGGGUUAAAUUCGUUAAGGAUGUUGACGUA